UAUCCCAAAUUAAGCUCUUUGAACUCAAGAAACGAACUGAUAUCCGCAUGUAGGCACAGGAAAAAAUUCCUGCUCUGCAGCCAAUAGCUCAGGUUACAGACAUAGGUUUACGCUUUCCAAAUGACGUCAAACAUUUUUAUAUAAUAGGUCAAGUUACCUAUAGGUUAUAACAUCAUGUAAAUACGCGAUAUCAUCAUUCUCAUAUAUAGAAGAAGCCUUAACCGGCGAAACGUCUGGG